UACAGAGGUCUCAAGCGUUGUUCGGAUUCAUUGGGCGUAAGGGUGCGUAGGUGGCGCGUUAAGUCAGGUGUGAAAUUCGGAGCUUAACUCCGAAACUGCAUUUGAUACUGGCGUGCUUGAGGACUGGAGAGGAGACUGGAAUUCAUGGUGUAGCAGUGAAAUGCGUAGAGAUCAUGAGGAAGACCAGUGGCGAAGGCGGGUCUCUGGACAGUUCCUGACACUGGAGGCACGAAGGCCAGGGAGCAAACGGG
rnacentral:rRNA from 1 species